rnacentral:misc_RNA from 1 species
GAUGAAGAACGCAGCGAAAUGCGAUAAGUAAUGUGAAUUGCAGAAUCCAGUGAAUCAUCGAAUCUUUGAACGCACAUUGCGCCCGCCAGCAUUCUGGCGGGCAUGCCUGUUCGAGCGUCAUUUCAACCCUCGACCUCCCUUUGGGGAAGUCGGCGUUGGGGGCCGGCAGCACACCGCCGGCCCUGAAAUGGAGUGGCGGCCCGUCCGCGGCGACCUCUGCGUAGUAAACCAACUCGCACCGGAACCCCGACGUGGCCACGCCGUAAAACACCCAACUUCUGAACGUUGACCUCGAAUCAGGUAGGACUACCCGCUGAACUUAAGCAUAUCAAUAAGCGGAGGA